AUUGAACGCUGGCGGCAGGCUUAACGCAUGCAAGUCGAGCGGAGAUGAGGUGCUUGCACCUUAUCUUAGCGGCGGACGGGUGAGUAAUGCUUAGGAAUCUGCCUAUUAGUGGGGGACGACAUUCCGAAAGGAAUGCUAAUACCGCAUACGUCCUACGGGAGAAAGCAGGGGAUCUUCGGACCUUGCGCUAAUAGAUGAGCCUAAGUCGGAUUAGCUAGUUGGUGGGGUAAAGGCCUACCAAGGCGACGAUCUGUAGCGGGUCUGAGAGGAUGAUCCGCCACACUGGGACUGAGACACGGCCCAGACUCCCACGGGAGGCAGCAGUGGGGAAUAUUGGACAAUGGGCGGAAGCCUGAUCCAGCCAUGCCGCGUGUGUGAAGAAGGCCUUUUGGUUGUAAAGCACUUUAAGCGAGGAGGAGGCUACCUAGAUUAAUACUCUGGGAUAGUGGACGUUACUCGCAGAAUAAGCACCGGCUAACUCUGUGCCAGCAGCCGCGGUAAAAC
rnacentral:rRNA from 1 species